rnacentral:rRNA from 1 species
CCUGCGCUGCUUACCAUGCAAGUCGAACGGAGAUUCAGCAAUGGAUCUUAGUGGCGAACGGGUGAGUAACGCGUAGGCAAUCUGCCUUCUAGAUGGGGACAACAUCCCGAAAGGGGUGCUAAUACCGAAUGUUGUAAUUGGUUCGCAUGGACUAGCUACUAAAGGUGGCCUCUGAAUAUGCUACCGCUAGAAGAUGAGCCUGCGUCUGAUUAGCUAGUUGGAGGGGUAACGGCCCACCAAGGCUUCGAUCAGUAGCCGGUCUGAGAGGAUGAACGGCCACACUGGGACUGAGACACGGCCCAGACUCCUACGGGAGGCAGCAGUGGGGAAUCUUCCGCAAUGGACGAAAGUCUGACGGAGCAACGCCGCGUGAGUGAAGAAGGUUUUCGGAUCGUAAAGCUCUUUCGUUAGGGACGAACGUGCUCUUUGUGAAUAAUGAGGAGUAAUGACGGUACCUAAAUAAGAAGCCACGGCUAACUACGUGCCAGCAGCCGCGGUAAUACGUAGGUGGCAAGCGUUGUCCGGAAUUAUUGGGCGUAAAGCGCGCGCAGGCGGGAUAUCAAGUCUGUCUUAAAAGUGCGAGGCUCAACCUCGUGAGGGGACGGAAACUGGUAUUCUUGAGUGUCGGAGAGGAAAGUGGAAUUCCAAGUGUAGCGGUGAAAUGCGUAGAGAUUUGGAAGAACACCAGUGGCGAAGGCGACUUUCUGGACGAUGUCUGACGCUGAGGCGCGAAAGCUAGGGGAGCGAACGGGAUUAGAUACCCCGGUAGUCCUAGCCGUAAACGAUGGGUACUAGGUGUAGGGGGUAUCGACCCCUCCUG